UACGGAGGAUGCGAGCGUUAUCCGGAUUUAUUGGGUUUAAAGAGUGCGUAGGCGGAUUUUUAAGUCAGCGGUAAAAUGUCCGGGCUCAACCCCAUCCAGCCGUUGAAACUGGGGAUCUAGAGUGUGCGAGAGGUAUGCGGAACGCGUGGUGUAGCGGUGAAAUGCAUAGAUAUCACGCAGAACUCCGAUUGCGAAGGCAGCAUACCGGCGCCCGACUGACGCUGAGGCACGAAAGCGUGGGGAUCGAACAGG
rnacentral:rRNA from 1 species